rnacentral:rRNA from 1 species
UACGUAGGGUGCAAGCGUUGUCCGGAAUUAUUGGGCGUAAAGAGCUCGUAGGCGGUCUGUCACGUCGGCUGUGAAAACCUGGGGCUCAACUCCGGGCCUGCAGCCGAUACGGGCAGACUAGAGUUCGGCAGGGGAGACUGGAAUUCCUGGUGUAGCGGUGAAAUGCGCAGAUAUCAGGAGGAACACCGGUGGCGAAGGCGGGUCUCUGGGCAACAACUGACGC